rnacentral:rRNA from 1 species
UGAAUACGAGAUGCUACGGCGUCGAAGCAGUCUAUGUCAUACUUCCAAGAAAAGCUCGCACUGUCAUAAACAAAUAAUGCCUGUACCAUAACCGACACAGGUGGGUAGGUAGAGUAUACUAAGGGGCGCGAGAUAACUCUCUCUAAGGAACUCGGCAAAAUGACUCCGUAACUUCGGGAGAAGGAGUGCCUUACUUAUAAGGUUGCAAUAACAAGAUCCAAGCAACUGUUUAUCAAAAACACAGGUCUCCGCUAAGUCGUAAGACGAUGUAUGGGGGCUGACGCCUGCCCAGUGCCAGAAGGUUAAAGAAGUUGGUUAGCAUUCGCGAAGCUGAUAACUGAAGCCCUGGUGAACGGCGGCCGUAACAAUAACGGUCCUAAGGUAGCGAAAUUCCUUGUCGGGUAAGUUCCGACCCGCACGAAAGGCGUAAUGAUUUGGAUACUGUCUCGGAGAGGGGCUCGGUGAAAUAGACUUGUCUGUGAAGAUGCGGACUACCUGCACCAGGACAGAAAGACCCUAUGAAGCUUUACUGUAACUUGAGAUUGAAAUUGGACUUUACUUGCGCAGUAUAGGUGGGAGGCGUUGAUAAUAUUCUUGCGGGAUUAUUUGAGCCAUCAGUGAGAUACCACUCUUGUAAUGUUAGAUUUCUAACUUUGUAUCAUUAUCUGGUCAAAGGACAGUUUCAGGCGGGCAGUUUGACUGGGGCGGUCGCCUCCUAAACGGUAACGGAGGCGCACAAAGGUUUCCUCUGAACGGGUAGAAAUCGUAUCUAGAGUGUAAAGGCAUAAGGAAGCUUGACUGUGAGACCUACAAGUCGAGCAGGGACGAAAGUCGGUCUUAGUGAUCUGACGGUGCUGAGUGGAAAGGCCGUCACUCAACGGAUAAAAGUUACUCUAAGGAUAACAGGCUGAUCUCCCCCAAGAGUUCACAUCGACGGGGAGGUUUGGCACCUCGAUGUCGGCUCAUCGCAUCCUGGGGCGGUAGUACGUCCCAAGGGUUGGGCUGUUCGCCCAUGAAAGCGGUACGCGAGCUGGGUUCAGAACGUCGUGAGACAGUUCGGUCCAUAUCCGGUGUAGGCGUUAGAAUAUUGAGAGGAGCCUUCUUUAGUACGAGAGGACCGAGAAGGACAUACCUCUGGUGUACCAGUUAUCGUGCCAACGGUAAACGCUGGGUAGCUAUGUAUGGAGUGGAUAACCGCUGAAAGCAUCUAAGUGGGAAGCCCACCUCAAGAUAAGUAUUCC